GCCGAAGUGGUGAAAUUGGUAGACACGCCACCUUGAGGGGGUGGUGAGCUUUUGCUCGUGGAGGUUCAAGUCCUCUCUUCGGCACCA
rnacentral:tRNA from 2 species